UACGUAGGGUGCAAGCGUUGUCCGGAAUUAUUGGGCGUAAAGAGCUCGUAGGCGGUUUGUCGCGUCUGCUGUGAAAACUCGGGGCUUAACCCUGGGCCUGCAGUGGGUACGGGCAGACUAGAGUGCGGUAGGGGAGACUGGAAUUCCUGGUGGAGUGGUGAAAUGCGUAGAGAUCCGGAGGAACACCAAAGGCGAAGGCAGUGUCCUGGGGAGUACCGUGACGCUCAGUGCGAAAGCCAGGGAGCGAACGGGA
rnacentral:rRNA from 1 species